rnacentral:rRNA from 1 species
CAGGCCUAACACAUGCAAGUCGAACGAGAAAGUGGAGCAAUCCAUGAGUAAAGUGGCGACCGGGUGAGUAACACGUGACUAACCUACCUUCGAGUGGGGGAUAACCUAGGGAAACCUGGGCUAAUACCGCAUAACAUCUUUGGAGUGGAAACUCUGGAGAUCAAAGGGGCAAUUCGCUUGAAGAGGGGGUCGCGGCUGAUUAGCUAGUUGGCGGGGUAAUGGCCCACCAAGGCUUUGAUCGGUAGCCGGCCUGAGAGGGCGCACGNCCACACUGGAACUGAAACACGGUCCAGACUCCUACGGGAGGCAGCAGUGGGGAAUUUUGCGCAAUGGGGGAAACCCUGACGCAGCAACGCCGCGUGGAGGAUGAAGUCCCUUGGGACGUAAACUCCUUUCGACCGGGACGAUAAUGACGGUACCGGUGGAAGAAGCCCCGGCUAACUUCGUGCCAGCAGCCGCGGUAAUAC